rnacentral:misc_RNA from 1 species
GAUGAAGAACGCAGCGAAAUGCGAUAAGUAAUGUGAAUUGCAGAAUUCAGUGAAUCAUCGAAUCUUUGAACGCACAUUGCGCCCGUCAGUAUUCUGGCGGGCAUGCCUGUCUGAGCGUCAUUUCAACCCUCAUGCCCCUAGGGCGUGGUGUUGGGGAUCGGCCAAAGCCCGCGAGGGACGGCCGGCCCCUAAAUCUAGUGGCGGACCCGUCGUGGCCUCCUCUGCGAAGUAGUGAUAUUCCGCAUCGGAGAGCGAUGAGCCCCUGCCGUUAAACCCCCAACUUUCCAAGGUUGACCUCAGAUCAGGUAGGAAUACCCGCUGAACUUAAGCAUAUCAAUAAGCGGAGGA